rnacentral:rRNA from 1 species
AAAGCUUGCUCCCUGGGUGACGAGCGGCGGACGGGUGAGUAAUGUCUGGGAAACUGCCUGAUGGAGGGGGAUAACUACUGGAAACGGUAGCUAAUACCGCAUAACGUCGCAAGACCAAAGAGGGGGACCUUCGGGCCUCUUGCCAUCAGAUGUGCCCAGAUGGGAUUAGCUAGUAGGUGGGGUAAUGGCUCACCUAGGCGACGAUCCCUAGCUGGUCUGAGAGGAUGACCAGCCACACUGGAACUGAGACACGGUCCAGACUCCUACGGGAGGCAGCAGUGGGGAAUAUUGCACAAUGGGCGCAAGCCUGAUGCAGCCAUGCCGCGUGUGUGAAGAAGGCCUUCGGGUUGUAAAGCACUUUCAGCGAGGAGGAAGGUGGUGANCUUAAUACGNUCAUCAAUUGACGUUACUCGCAGAAGAAGCACCGGCUAACUCCGUGCCAGCAGCCGCGGUAAUACGGAGGGUGCAAGCGUUAAUCGGAAUUACUGGGCGUAAAGCGCACGCAGGCGGUUUGUUAAGUCAGAUGUGAAAUCCCCGGGCUCAACCUGGGAACUGCAUUUGAAACUGGCAAGCUAGAGUCUCGUAGAGGGGGGUAGAAUUCCAGGUGUAGCGGUGAAAUGCGUAGAGAUCUGGAGG